rnacentral:rRNA from 1 species
CCUACGGGAGGCUGCAGUAGGGAAUAUUGCUCAAUGGGGGAAACCCUGACGCAGCAACGCCGCGUGGAGGAUGAAGGUUUUAGGAUUGUAAACUCCUUUUGUUAGAGAAGAUUAUUAAGUUAUCUAACGAAUAAGCACCGGCCAACUCCGUGCCAGCAGCCGCGGUAAUACGGCGGGUGCAAGCGUUACUCGGAAUCACUGGGCGUAAAGAGUACGUAGGCGGGGUAAUAAGUCAGGUGUGAAAUCCUGUGGCUUAACUAUGGAACUGCAUUUGACACUGUUACUCUGGAGUGUGGGAGAGGUAGGUGGAAUUCUUGGUGUAGGGGUAAAAUCCGUAGAGAUCAAGAGGAAUACUCAUUGCGAAGGCGACCUGCUGGAACAUUACUGACGCUGAUGUACGAAAGCGUGGGGAGCAAACAGGAUUAGAUACCCCAGUAGUC